rnacentral:rRNA from 1 species
GACGAACGCUGGCGGCGUGCUUAACACAUGCAAGUCGAACGAUGAAGCCGGAGCUUGCUCUGGUGAAUUAGUGGCGAACGGGUGAGUAACACGUGAGUAACCUGCCCUUGACUCUGGGAUAACUGCGGGGAAACUGUAGCUAAUACCGGAUACGACCCUCGGAGGCAUCUCCUGGGGGUGGAAAGAAUUUCGGUCAAGGAUGGACUCGCGGCCUAUCAGCUAGUUGGUGAGGGAAAGGCUCACCAAGGCGACGACGGGUAGCCGGCCUGAGAGGGUGACAGGCCACACUGGGACUGAGCCACGGCCCAGACUCCUACGGGAGGCAGCAGUGGGAAAUAUUGCACAAUGGGCGCAAGCCUGAUGCAGCAACGCCGCGUGAGGGAUGACGGCCUUCGGGUUGUAAACCUCUUUUAGCAGGGAAGAAGCGAAAGUGACGGUACCUGCAGAAAAAGCACCGGCUAACUACGUGCCAGCCGCCGCCGUAA